GACGAACGCUGGCGGCGUGCUUAACACAUGCAAGUCGAACGAAGAGCGAUGGAAGCUUGCUUCUAUCAAUCUUAGUGGCGAACGGGUGAGUAACGCGUAAUCAACCUGCCCUUCAGAGGGGGACAACAGUUGGAAACGACUGCUAAUACCGCAUACGAUCUAAUCUCGGCAUCGAGGAUAGAUGAAAGGUGGCCUCUACAUGUAAGCUAUCACUGAAGGAGGGGAUUGCGUCUGAUUAGCUAGUUGGAGGGGUAACGGCCCACCAAGGCGAUGAUCAGUAGCCGGUCUGAGAGGAUGAACGGCCACAUUGGGACUGAGACACGGCCCAGGCUCCUACGGGAGGCAGCAGUGGGGAAUCUUCCGCAAUGGACGAAAGUCUGACGGAGCAACGCCGCGUGAGUGAUGACGGCCUUCGGGUUGUAAAGCUCUGUUAAUCGGGACGAAAGGCCUUCUUGCGAAUAGUGAGAAGGAUUGACGGUACCGGAAUAGAAAGCCACGGCUAACUACGUG
rnacentral:rRNA from 1 species